GCCGUCUUCGACUCCCACAAUCUGCCAAUAUUGUAUGCAUAGUCCCCUAUUCACUCCAGCAAUCAACAAAGCGCUGGAGCGAAUCCUUACUUGCUCACCGCGGACCAGGCGGCCAAGGGUACCUAUUGGUUUUCACACACCUCGGUCGAUAAAGUUACUUUCUGCUGCUCACCUUAGCGCGCCAAACGCGGCCUUCUGUUUCGUUCUUCUUUAACCUCGAGACCCUUCGUAAACCUCUCACCAGCCCUUCCCGUCAGCCAUUCGCGCCAUCCGCACCCUUCUCCACUGCCACUUAUGUGCCGAUAGUCCGAUACGAGAACUACAUACACCCUACCAAAUCUGUGUUUGAAAUCUCCACUUUAGGUUACUGAGGAGCAAAAUAUUGGGAUCCCAUACUAGCAGUCCAAGAUGUCCCUGAGGAGAGAGUGAAAGAUGGUGUCCGGUAGGGAGGGAGCUUGAGGGAAUGCUUCAACUGUGGGAACCCCCUCAUCUCUUCGCAUCUUUGUGGAUGGAUGGAUGAAUAAAUACGGCGAGUCUACUCGUUUCACCGACGUCUGGUGAUAGCGUCAGCACAUACUCAGGGCAUCGGGGCUUACAACACGAGCUGUUAAGGUGGUUUAUUUCUAUAUGAUAUUGCUGUCAAGAAGGCUGCUACUUUCGGGAUAUGAUGCUGAAGUAAAGCUAUCCAAUGAGAGUCUGCAGUCCUGACACACACUCGCUUCCGGCGGUUGCGAUUGGGUGUGUGGACUCUGAUGUGGCUGGGCUUUCAGUUGUCGUAUCUGAUGAGACUUUUUCUGUGUUUUCUCUGGUGACCGGAAUCUGAUAUUCAUUAUCAUCAAAAGGUCGUAAGGUUGGUUUGAGAUAUGAGUCUUGGGGUCAAGUCGUUAUCGCUAGAACU